UACGGGAGGCAGCAGUGGGGAAUAUUGCACAAUGGGCGCAAGCCUGAUGCAGCCAUGCCGCGUGUAUGAAGAAGGCCUUCGGGUUGUAAAGUACUUUCAGUCGUGAGGAAGGUGUUAAGGUUAAUAACCUUAGCAAUUGACGUUAGCGACAGAAGAAGCACCGGCUAACUCCGUGCCAGCAGCCGCGGUAAUACGGAGGGUGCGAGCGUUAAUCGGAAUUACUGGGCGUAAAGGGCACGCAGGCGGUUAAUUAAGUUGGAUGUGAAAUCCCCGGGCUUAACCUGGGAAUGGCAUUCAAGACUGGUUAGCUAGAGUCUUGUAGAGGGGGUAGAAUUCCGAUGUGUAGCGGUGAAAUGCGUAGAGAUGUGGAGGAAUACCGGUGGCGAAGGCGGCCCCUGGACAAAGACUGACGCUCAUGUGCGAAAGCGUGGGGAGCGAAACAGGGAUUUAGA
rnacentral:rRNA from 1 species